rnacentral:lncRNA from 1 species
GGGCACCAUAGCAUCUGAAUAGCAGUUGUUUUGACUGGCACGCUGAACUUUCUCUUUGAAAGAUCAUACGCUGCAUCAGCACUUUGACAACAGCUUCCAUCAAUUUGUUUAGCGAUUAGUCUUUCAUUUGGACAAAGAUAAUUUUUUAAACUUAGAGGAGGGCAGUUCCUCUGCAUUGUGGACUGCUGCAGAGGAUGUGGACCGACACAGAGGAACAAUAGCUCUAAGGAGCAGCAGCUGGUGCCCACUGACAAGGGAGCAGGACCGAAAGGCCCAGGCACAGCAGAGCUGCGGGGACCGUGCUGAGUGGGGGCCAGUCAGGCAAAGAACUAGAAACCCACAGCUGUUAGAACAGCAAUCAAAGUGUUUUUGUUCAAGAGAUGUGUGGCCCAAGCUAAAGACGUGA